AUAUUUUCUUAUAAGUUACAGUGUAAUUUAUGAAACUUACAAUGUAACUUUUGUAAAUUACUGUGUAAUUUUUGAAUCUUCACAUGUAAGUUUUAAAAUUUAUAUUGGAUUUGGUCUUUUUCUUGAAGAUAUGGUAAUGUAGUGUCUAUUAUGGUGUUUUUAGUUGCUUUUU
rnacentral:snRNA from 2 species